UAACCUAAGCUUUGAUAUCAAAUAAUUAAAAAAAAAAAAAAACUAUCACAGGAUGAAAGAGUAAGAGUAGUACAAGGACAAAAUAUUUCAUGUUUCCCUCAAAAUUAUUUAUAACUUUAAAAACUCUAUAUAUUUCAUAACCCAAUGAUAUUUAUAUAGUCUUCAAAAAAAUAGAUUAUGUAUUGAAAAUAAAUCAUUCAUUUCCAAAAAAAAUCAAAUCAAUAGUUAAUUUAAUUUAUCCAAAUGUGUUUCUUCUCUUGAAUGUAACCUCUCUCUUAAAUAUAAUAAAUCUCUUUAUGAUACCUUAAACCUGUUUAAUGUAUCUCUCAACCAGUUUAAUUCCAACGUAUCUCUCCCCCCACUUCGACUCUUUCGAGGCCCCUCCGGUCUCCCCCCACCCAUUCCUCGGGACCUCAACAUGGCGCCUCUCCUUGCUGAUUGUGGCGGCCAAUAACCUGAUUCGGGGGUUUCUCCGGAGGAGGAUAAGUCGGUCUCUUUGUUCUCUGUUUGUUCCUCCUCUCUUGCGGGAUUUCUCUUUUCUUGGGAGUUUUCGCUUGCAAUUUUGGUUCUUGCAAGCUCGUUUGAUUGCUAUCUGUUAAAUAUGUUGGUGGAAUUCAUGGAAAAAUUCCUUUUUCCGAUGGGUAUUGGACGAGUCCAGCUCAAUUUUGGAAUUUUCUUUCAUGUUCUUUGCCACCACUCUGAUGUGAGAAGGGUUCUCGUGACCUUACGGCAAUCUAGAUUUUCGUGUGAGGCAAUAGUGGAAGAAGCACCAUUUUUUUCAUGAAAGCAUCUUAUUUUCAAACCCCCCUUUAGGAAAUGUAGAUGCACUGGCUGUGAAAUACAAUCUGUUCGUGUGUGCUUCGAAUUUUCUGUCAAGAACUGUAUCCCAAACUUUUUCUUGGCAAUGUGCAUCUAGUUCACUUCUCAAAUGGGUUCCUUAUGCUACUUAGAUCUCCGAAUCUUACAAAUCAGGGUCAUUUCCCUGGUUUUUACUUGUUUCUAAAGUCGCGUAUUUUGUUCAAGUGCUCGAGUUUGCCAAUGCUCAGUAUUGCGGCUAAUCACUGGCCAGUCGUCACUCUUCUUUCAAUUUGAUUUAAGUCUUUUGAUUCCUCGAGUUUUCUUUGGUUAUUCCUUUUAUCUUGUUUUCAGACUCAUCCUGUUUCAUCCCGCAAAUGAGGACUUCCUCUCGUAAGCUGGCAAGAUCUGAUUGUUUUAAUGUGAUGACAUGCACUUUUCUUGCUUCUUAGCUCAAGAAAUUCGAUGACAUGUUCUUUGAAUUUUUUUCUUCCUGAAAUGCCUCAUUUCUUGAUGAAUUGCACCAACAUUUUGGCAUUAAUUCUUCAUCGUAGUUUCAGUCUGAAAAGCAUUCUUCUUUAAGUGAGGUUUUAUCAUGGUAUGAUUAUGUCUUCCUUGUUUUCUUAGGUUUCCUUUGCUCUUGGCAAUAUUAGUUGCCGCUCUUGCAUUCAAGUGAUAAUAACACAAGCCUGGAGAAAUUUGUUGAUGAUUCUUCUCAUUAGAUCUCUGUCAGAAUACUUUAAAUCGCAUAAAAUUUUCCCUCUUUAUUCUUCAUCUGAAGAAAUAUGAGGUCAGGUUCGAAGAAGGGUUGAAAUUCCCUCAUGCUUCUUUGGCUAGACAGGAGAUCUUGCAGCCAUUUUUGUAUGUUUCCAAAGGUUUGGUCUGCCAGCCAUACACCAGGAAAUGCACUAGUUUAUCUGAAUGUAUAUGACUUGCCACCAAUGAAUGGUUUUAUGUACUGGGCAGGCCUUGGGAUAUUUCACACCGGUGUUGAAGGUAUUCUUUGCUGUUGCCUUUUUGGUUUAGAUAAAGGAUGCAUUAAAUAGAUACAUCAAUGGUAAGACAUCAUUUUAAUGUGCUUCUCUAUGCUGAAUUUGUUGUUUGAAACAUGAAUGGUGAAAAUUCUUGCAACCAAAUAUGUCAUCUAUCCACCUGCAUAGAUUUUUGUUUAACUAGUUCCUGGAUUUCUUUUUUGGACAUGAAAAUUUAUUAAGAAAAAUUCAUACUUAAUCCAAAUCCUAAUAGUUGUCAGGCAAGUUGAUGCUUCGGUACUUCUGUACAUUCCUUACAUGCUGGUUGGAUUGCUGCCUCCAAGUCAAUAUUGUAGGGCCAGAAAUAUCCUUGAUUUCUUGAGUUUGUCUUAAAGUUCUUUAGAUAAUAGCAUUUUUCUGUCAGGCAUUUAUAAAUUUUGAUGCUCUUUAUUGGUUCUUCCAGUUCAUGGGGUGGAAUAUGUAUUUGGAGCACAUGACUAUCCGAGUAGCGGAGUCUUUGAGGUUGAGCCUCGUCAGUGUCCAGGCUUCAUGUUUAAGAAAUCAAUAUUCAUGGGUACGACAUGCUUGGACUCAUUGCAGGUUAGAGAGUUUAUGGAACUUCAGUCCGUUAAUUACAGUGGAGACACCUACCACUUGAUCAUGAAGAACUGCAACCAUUUCUGCAAAGAAAUCUGUCAUAAGAUGACCGGUUCCCUUUGCAAAUGCUGACUGCCUGAUAACUGCUGUUCAGCAUGACCCAGAUUUCCAAUCCGAGGAUGGAGAGAGGAGGCAGCUGAGAACUGCUUUCAGUUGUCUAUCCUCGAUUUCUAUGUGCCAGAGGCAGUUCACUAUUUCUUCUCUUUUCUUGACAUCUCGUUUUAGAGGGUGCCUUUCACACUGGGAGUUAAGAAGGUCUAAUGUCAUUCCUUUGUAGGAAACCUGAAAAUAUCAUCAUCUGUUGACCGAGAAAGGUGUUGAUCGAGAAAGGAGUUACAGUUCUGAGCUCCUUUUUUUUUUUUGGUGGAAAAGCUUGUCACGAGUGUUGACCAUAAUAUAGGAAGAUGGAUGUGAUGUGAGCUUUGGCCUUGUUACAUAAGUUCAUCAUCAAUGAGAAUUCUGCGGCAGAAUGUUCGUUUGAUGUCAAUACUAAAUGAAGGGUAGAGGAAGAAACAUAAUGGACAAUGGACAUUACAACAGCAGAGACAAGCAGCAGGGUUGGGUUUUCACACCACCACUACCACCACAAGGACUCCUCAAAAGCUGCAAGAAAGUGACAAC